AUACGGGGGGAGCAAACGUUGUUCGGAUUCAUUGGGCGUAAAGAGCUCGUAGGCGGCUCCGUAAGUCAGAGGUGAAAGACCACGGCUCAACCGUGGAACCGCCUUUGAAACUACGGAGCUUGAGGCCGGGAGAGGAUAGUGGAAUUCCUGGAGUAGCGGUGAAAUGCGUAGAUAUCAGGAGGAACACCAGUGGCGAAGGCGACUAUCUGGACCGGUUCUGACGCUGAGGAGCGAAAGCUAGGGGAGCAAACAGGAUUAGAAACCCCGGUAGUCC
rnacentral:rRNA from 1 species